AUGUUCCUGAAAUGUCCGAAUAACCUAUAAUUUUGAACCUACAGAUGACAUACGGGAGCCCGGUGUUUUUAUUAGGAGCACAGGCCUCAAGUUAAUUCCGGCAUCAGUACAAGGUACUGGUGAAACGGCGGAGGAAGUGUAAAUAAUAAAACAGGGCACCCACCUGGCUAAUGGCUAGGUGUCAAAAUAUAGGGAAACGGCAUUUUGGGGCAUG
rnacentral:other from 1 species